CUUAAUUUAGUGGUGAAGAAGUCCAUUGAGAACACUCCUGGACUGGAAGACCUUCGCACAAGGUCUCGUAAAGUGGUGACCUACUGUAAAACCAGCACUAUGUAACGGGUAUUGACUGGACCCAAUUGCAGCACAAACAAGCAGGUUCACUUUAACAACAGUCUUUAUUUAACACCAAAUCCAAUGAAGCAGCAGAGUAUAGCAGGAUUCGAACUCAGGUCUUCCGGGUGAUAGGCGAGCAGAUUAGCGGUGGACCACAGGUCAGGCAAGAGUUUUGGACUCGUGAGCAGGCAAUUGUCCACAGUCUUAAUUUGCUCUACGAGUGUAGUGAAGGGGAAAACGCUCAACUCACAGCUGGAGGAAGAUUUCUUGGAGAGUGGUUCAGCUGAGGACUGGGUGAGGAUCCAGAGCUUGCAGAGGAGCUGGCAGAACCAACGUCGGCAGAGGAGGUGAGUUGGCGAGGUGAAGCUGACGAGAAGGGGGAUCUCAACAGAGCAGGAACAGGCUGAAUGCCAUUUAGCCGCAGGCAGACGAAUAGCAGGAAACAGGCAGGCAAAGCUCGUAGUCAAGGACAGAAGGCAGGUAGGUUUACCAGGGCUGAAGCGAGAAGCAAAGGUCAGGGGCAGAUCAGGUCGAUACCAGGUAAGCAGUCCGAGGAUAAACGCUGGAGAGUCAGGCAUGAGAGCGAAGACAAUCUGGCAAAGAGUGAGGGGAAAGAAGCUGCAUAUAUACUGGCCUGAUUGGAGAUGAUGAGCAGGUGAGAGCAGCAGGUGGAAGCAGUUAGCUGAUGAGGGGUGUGGCUUAGCAGCAGAGCAGGAGAGGGGCAGAGCAGACUGUUACACACUAGAGCCAAAGAGAUGUUGCAACAGGUGCAGAAAUCCGCAGGGCGCGAACCCAUGAAGCUCAUUCAGGAGGUGGACACUUGCUGGAAUAGCACCUACGACAUGUUCCAGCGUUUGUACGAGGAGAGGCAGACUGUGGGG